rnacentral:piRNA from 1 species
UAGGAAUUCCAUUUCUAGGGCUAAACAGA